AUCUACCUUCAGGACGGGGACAACAGCUGGAAACGGCUGCUAAUACCCGAUAUGCCGAAAGGUGAAACGUUGUUUCGCCUGGAGAGGAGCUCGCGUCCGAUUAGCUAGUUGGUGGGGUAAAAGCUUACCAAGGCGACGAUCGGUAGCUGGUCUGAGAGGAUGAGCAGCCACACUGGAACUGAGACACGGUCCAGACUCCUACGGGAGGCAGCAGUGGGGAAUUUUCCGCAAUGGGCGAAAGCCUGACGGAGCAACGCCGCGUGGGGGAAGAAGGUUUUUGGAUUGUAAACCCCUUUUCUCAAGGAAGAACAAAAUGACGGUACUUGAGGAAUCAGCCUCGGCUAACUCCGUGCCAGCAGCCGCGGUAAUACGGAGGAGGCAAGCGUUAUCCGGAAUUAUUGGGCGUAAAGCGUUCGUAGGCGGCUGUUCAAGUCUGCUGUCAAAGACCGAGGCUCAACCUCGGGUCGGCAGUGGAAACUGAAUAGCUAGAGGUCGGUAGGGGCAGAGGGAAUUCCCAGUGUAGCGGUGAAAUGCGUAGAUAUUGGGAAGAACACCGGUGGCGAAAGCGCUCUGCUGGGCCGAACCUGACGCUGAGGGACGAAAGCUAGGGGAGCGAAUG
rnacentral:rRNA from 2 species